UACGUAGGGGGCAAGCGUUGUCCGGAUUUAUUGGGCGUAAAGAGCGUGUAGGCGGCUUUACAGGUCCGUUGUGAAAACUCGAGGCUCAACCUCGAGACGCCGGUGGAAACCGUAAAGCUAGAGUCCGGAAGAGGAGAGUGGAAUUCCUGGUGUAGCGGUGAAAUGCGCAGAUAUCAGGAAGAACACCCGUGGCGAAGGCGGCUCUCUGGGACGGUACUGACGCUGAGACGCGAAAGCGUGGGGAGCAAACAGG
rnacentral:rRNA from 1 species